rnacentral:misc_RNA from 1 species
AAGUCGUAACAAGGUAACCGUAGGUGAACCUGCGGUUGGAUCAUUAAAAAAGAUAAAAUUUUGCGGUUAGUCGAGACGGUUUGGAAUCUGGGGUGAUGCUUUGUUUAGCUUAUGGCUGACGAGGUAUAGCUCUUGUACGAUAGACACGUUUCCUGGCUGUGAAUUUUUCCUUCAACCACCUGUGCACACUUUAUUGUAUUUUGGGCAAGACUCUGUUUUUGCCCAGCCGUUUUUUAACACCUCUUUAAUUUUUGCCUGAAAUUAUUUUAUAAAUAAUAACAA